rnacentral:rRNA from 1 species
GAUGAACGCUGGCGGCGUGCCUAAUACAUGCAAGUCGAGCGAACGGAUGCGAAUCCUUCUUCUGUAAUAUCUUAGCCGGAAAGGUGAGUAUAACAUGGAAAACACAUGUAUCAGACUCUGAUACCAUUAGGGAAAAGUAGAUCUAAUACCAGAUAACUUUAUUACCUGCAGGUCUGAAGUUUAAGAGUUGCUUUUUCUCACACAAUGAUAUAUCUGCGCUGCAUUAGCUAGUUGGUGAGGUAACGGCUUACCAAGGCAACGAUGCAUAGCCGACCUGAGAGGGUGAUCGGCCACACUGGAACUGAGACACGGUCCAGACUCCUACGGGAGGCAGCAGUAGGGAAUCUUCCGCAAUGGGCGAAAGCCUGACGGAGCAACGCCGCGUGAGUGAUGAAGGACUUCGGUUCGUAAAGCUCUGUUGUUAGGGAAGAAUGUAUGUGUAGUAAACUGAGAACGUAGAGACGGUACCUAACCAGAAAGUCACGGCUAACUACGUG